GUGCAGAGGGGCUGCCCCAGGCGGGGGACUCCAACUCCCUCUCAGCCAGGGCCAGGCCUGUGGGGUCUGGGCCUUCUCAGGGCCGAGGACUCACUGCCCGAGCACGGGCCCUGCCUGCGGCAGUUACGCGGAUGGUUCCUUUUUAAACGCAGGAGCUGCCAUCAUCUUCUCUCACUCAACGGUCAUCAUGGAAAGUGAAAACGACGGUGCGGCUCCUCCCACGGAGGAGAGACAAGCUCACAGGAAAUGCCGUCUAACGGGAUCUCUGGAUGGAGAAUUCCACAGCUGAUUGGAACCUAUACGAGAGAACCAAAUGGACAUCCCAGGGCUGCAGAAGCCACCCCAUCUAUGACUAAGACACCCUCCCACGUUCAUGCUACUGAGUGGACAAGCUUACAUGAAAUGACUGUUUUCAUAUAUGUGGCACCAGGCAGCCCAGGGAUGCCGGUGAAAUCUCUGGGAGAACGGCAUGUUCCAGAGAGCCACAGCUUGCUCAGCCUGGACCCCAGAACGAAGGAGGCAUCAGAAGCUGAGCCACCCCGUGGCCGACAAGAAACCUGAGUGGGAGGGGAAACUUGGUUGCUGUGAUCGACCCAGGCUUGCGAGUUGUUUUGGCAACACAGCCUAGCAAGAGCCGACCAAUAUGUCAUUGAUGAAAAAAGUCGACAGGCGUGUAGAAGGAGCUGUCUACUGAGCACGUCUGCACUUUUCUGAAUUAUGUUGCACCUGAGUAAAAAGUAAGCAAGCCUGUCUAUUUACUUUAAA